GAUUAGAGUUUGAUCAUGGCUCAGAUUGAACGUUGGCGGCAGGCCUAAUACAUGCAAGUCGAACGGUAACAGCAGAGCUUGCUCUGGCUGACGAGUGGCGGACGGGUGAGUAACGCGUAGGAAUCUACCCAGUAGCGGGGGAUAGCCCGGGGAAACCCGGAUUAAUACCGCAUACGCCCCACGGGGGAAAGGAGGGGAUCACUUCGGUGACCUUCCACUAUUGGAGGAGCCUGCGUUGGAUUAGCUAGUUGGUAGGGUAAAGGCCUACCAAGGCAACGAUCCAUAGCUGGUCUGAGAGGACGAUCAGCCACACUGGGACUGAGACACGGCCCAGACUCCUACGGGAGGCAGCAGUAGGGAAUAUUGUGCAAUGGGCGAAAGCCUGACACAGCCAUGCCGCGUGUGUGAAGAAGGCCCUAGGGUUGUAAAGCACUUUCAGCGGGGAGGAAAAGAUUGUCUUAAUACGGCAGUUCUAUGACGUUACCCGCAGAAGAAGUACCGGCUAACUCCGUGCCAGCAGCCGCGGUAAUACGGAGGGUACAAACGUUAAUCGGAAUUACUGGGCGUAAAGCGCGCGUAGGUGGUUUAUUAAGUGGGAUGUGAAAGCCCCGGGCUUAACCUGGGAACUGCAUUCCAAACUGAUAAACUAGAGUACGAUAGAGGGGGGUAGAAUUCAGAGUGUAGCGGUGAAAUGCGUAGAGAUCUGAAGGAAUACCAGUGGCGAAGGCGGCCCCCUGGAUUGAUACUGACACUGAGGUGCGAAAGCGUGGGUAGCAAACAGGAUUAGAUACCCUGGUAGUCCAUGCCGUAAACGAUGUCAACUAGCCGUUGGAAGACUUGAUCUUUUAGUGGCGCAGCUAACGCAAUAAGUUGACCGCCUGGGGAGUACGGCCGCAAGGUUAAAACUCAAAUGAAUUGACGGGGGCCCGCACAAGCGGUGGAGCAUGUGGUUUAAUUCGAUGCAACGCGAAGAACCUUACCUGGCCUUGACAUCCAGAGAACUUUCUAGAGAUAGAUCGGUGCCUUCGGGAACUCUGUGACAGGUGUUGCAUGGCUGUCGUCAGCUCGUGUCGUGAGAUGUUGGGUUAAGUCCCGUAACGAGCGCAACCCUUAUCCUUACUUGCCAGCACUUCGGGUGGGAACUUUAAGGAGACUGCCGGUGACAAACCGGAGGAAGGAGAGGAUGAUGUCAAGUCAUCAUGGCCCUUACGGCCUGGGCUACACACGUGCUACAAUGGGGAGUACAAAAGGGCCGCAAGACCGCGAGGUGGAGCAAACCCCAGAAAAUUGAUCGUAGUCCGGAUCGGAGUCUGCAACUCGACUCCGUGAAGUCGGAAUCGCUAGUAAUCGCGAAUCAGCAUGUCGCGGUGAAUACGUUCCCGGGCCUUGUACACACCGCCCGUCACAUCAUGGGAGUGGGCUGCAAAAGAAGUGGCUAGUUUAACCCCUUAUCUUCGGAGAUGGGGAGAACGGUCACCACUUUGUGGUUCAUGACUGGGAUGAAGUCGUAACAAGGUAACCGUAAAUCGUCGACCUGCAGGA
rnacentral:rRNA from 1 species